rnacentral:lncRNA from 1 species
AGAUCAGCGAGGGGCCAGCCCUCACGGUCCUUACAAGACAGCCUCGAUGGCACUGGGGUUCCCCUGGGAACACACAUGGUCAAGCAUAGCUGCCUUGCUCAGCUCUCAGGAUGACAACUAUUUACACCUAGUGUGCUUUAUAGCACACCUGGGAUGGGAGUUGCAACGGCGGAAAGAUGCCAUCAAGCUGAGAUGUGAAGCGGAAGUGAGGCAGAGGCUCCCUUCCUUUUGUUUGGCGCAGUUUUCUGUGAGAGAGCAGAGGUGGGAGAUGAGGGGACCUCUGCCCCAGUGUUUCUGCAUCCAAGCUCCAGCCUUGUUGAAGGUUGCCCCGACGGCCACUCUCCAUACUGCUGCCAGAAGAACCUUGAAAUAUCGCUCUUUUUAAUUAAAA